rnacentral:rRNA from 1 species
UACGUAGGGGGCAAGCGUUGUCCGGAAUCAUUGGGCGUAAAGCGCGUGUAGGCGGUUCGGUAAGUCUGCUGUGAAAGUCCAGGGCUCAACCCUGGGAUGCCGGUGGAUACUGUCGGGCUAGAGUGCGGAAGAGGCGAGUGGAAUUCCUGGUGUAGCGGUGAAAUGCGCAGAUAUCAGGAGGAACACCUAUUGCGAAGGCAGCUCGCUGGGACGUUACUGACGCUGAGACGCGAAAGCGUGGGGAGCAAACAGG